GCUGCCAAUUCCCCAAGCAAAGGGAAGCGAGGGGAGAGCGCGGAGCCCCCGAUUAGCGUUCGGAGGAACUGGCCUAGAGGGGCCACUCGGAGCGCAAAGGCCCCGCGAAAUAGAAUAUCUAUACGCCCAGCAACCCUCCCUUUCGAGGCGCACGGAAUAAGUUGGCUGGAACUCUCCGCUGACCGCUCCGCCUGGGACUCAGGGUUGCAGCCGCACAGAGCUUCCUCCGGGGCGCCCAGGGCGGCGCGAGCAGGAGGGGGACCCAGUGUGGCCGCGCCCGGGAACUCGGGGGACCAGGUGAGGCUGCGCCCGGGUCCCAGUGGGAUCCAGAUGAGCGUACGCCCAAGCCCGCGGGGGACCAGGCUUCCGAAGUGAUUGAGCAGCGUCAGUCUUCAGCUGCUAAGCCGAGAAGAUCUGGGAAGGAGUCAGUCAGAGAGCCUUGGGCCAGAGUUCCAGAGAGCCUUGGGAAGGAGUCAGUCAGAGAGCCUUGGGGCUCUGGAAGUGGCUGC
rnacentral:lncRNA from 1 species